rnacentral:rRNA from 1 species
UAACGCGUGGAUAACCUGCCUCACACAGGGGGAUAACAGUUGGAAACGACUGCUAAUACCGCAUAAGCGCACAGCACCGCAUGGUGCAGUGUGAAAAACUCCGGUGGUGUGAGAUGGAUCCGCGUCUGAUUAGCUUGUUGGCGGGGUAACGGCCCACCAAGGCGACGAUCAGUAGCCGGCCUGAGAGGGCGACCGGCCACAUUGGGACUGAGACACGGCCCAG